CCGUUGAUGCGAGGUUCGUAGCCCAACUCCUCAUCACGCUUAUUGGCACAGAAAUUUGUUUGUCGCCAAAAUCGAUUAUGGGGGAGGUGCACACUAAGACUGGCAUGCUUAUCAAUUACCACACCGCGUGGCGAGCGAAGCAGAAGGCGUUGAAGAUGCUGUUUGGAAGCUUCGAAGAGUCAUACAACAAUGCUCCGAGACUGCUGCAGAAGAUUGCCAUGACGAAUCCAGGGACUCAGUGGGCCAUGGCGGAUGAGCCGAUCAGGCUAGAUGAUGGGUCAUAUAGCACCACUGACCGAUACCUCAUUAGGUUAUUCUGGUCCUUUGGACAAUGCAUCGAAGCAUUCAGGCAUUGUAGGCCGGUUGUAUGCGUGGAUGCCACAUUUCUAAGCGGCAAGUUCCAUGGUACCCUUAUGACAGCAAUGGCGGCGGAUGCAAAUAAUCAGAUCAUUCCUCUCGCCUUUGCAAUGGUUGAGAGUGAAAACAAUGAUAGUUGGUUGUGGUUCCUCACCUUGGUAAGGACACGUGUCGUGGGAAAUAGGGAACGAGUUUGCGUCAUCUCAGACCGCAACAAGGGUCUUCUGCAUGCGUUGGACGUGCUGCAUAAUAGCACAAACUGCUCCAUUGCAUGGCCUGAUGUGGAGAGAAGAUGGUGCAUGCGACACUUGGGCGCGAACCUGUACACAAGGUACCGCAGCAAGUCGCUUGUAAAGAGAUUCAAAGAGCUAUGUCUUCAGAACCAGCAGGCGAAGUUCAACGAGAUAUGGAGAGAGUUAAAUGAGACCACUCGCAAGAUGAUGGCAGACCAGCAAGCAGGGGAGGAUCAACUGCGGGCGCAAAUGGUUGGGGGCCAAACUAUCGUUAGUCGUUCACGUGGUACAUUUAGCCAGUGGAUAGCGGGGAAGCCGGCGGAGCGUUGGGCCCUUAUCCAUGACACUCAUGGUGCCAGGUACUCCAUCAUGACAACGAACAAAGCGGAGGCGUUCAACAAUGUCCUGAAGGGAGUACGGGGCCUCCCGUUGUGUGCCAUUAUUGAGCUCACAUUCUACAGAACGGCGGACUACUUUCGAGACCGUGGUAAUGCUGCUAUGAAGUGCAGCACACGGUUUUCACCUAAGGUGGAGCAAAUCAUAUCAAGAAGGAGGAGCAAGGCACACUUUCAUCGGUCGAGGAUCUACGACUUGGCCAACAAUGACUUUGAGGUCAUGUGCCGCCGUAGGUAUGCUUCAGGGUAUAGCGCUGGGGACACCGUGCAGCAAUGUCAACUUGGACCUAACGAGGUGAAGUGCACAUGCAAUAAGCCAAAACUGCACCAUAUCCCGUGCUCGCAUGUCUUAGCCGCUUGCAGGGACAUAGGUGGCAAUGACGGAUCACAGUACGUAUCACCGUACUUCACGAUCGAUGCAUUGAGGAGCACAUGGCUUCCAAAGAUGCGAUCCUUUAACAUCGGAACCAACUACAAAUCGAUCGAGGGCCCUAAGUGGGUACCUUAUCCACGAGCACGACGCACAGAUCCUGGAAGGCCUAGAUCUACGAGGCUGCAAGGUGACAUGGAUGAAGCAGAUGCUGUUGAUGGCCUUCGCAGGUGCAAACUUUGCAAACAACCUGGACAUGACAGGAGGACUUGCACGACCCGUCAGUAAACUAUCAGCCCACUGUCAAACUGAACUGUCUUAGAGACUUUGUAUUGUAAAAUGUUAUUCACCUGUUAGUUGUACUACUUAUUGUGCAUUAUGUGGUUUGCACUGUACCCCUUUAGACAAGAAGUGACCAUUGUAUUGUAAAUGUAAUUUUAUUUAUUUAUUUCGUGUUUCUUAAAUAUUCAUGGAUCCGUGUUUUGAUGCAGAGACAGAGCGUAGGUAGUCAGUGAGCAAGAAAUCUAUGGCGGGAUCCUCUAGUACAGGCUUUCCAUGGACACCUGCAACGAUCGCUAUAGCACUUAAUGCCUCCUUACAGGUUGUGCGCGAAGGAAACGAUGAUCCGUUAAAGGAGAACAACAUAAUCCAAGCCGUGGUGAAAUUGCAUGCAAGACCCAUAUGUUCUAGGUUAACCGCGCCACUCCAAUGUGUAACCACCGAGGACCUUAGGGCCCUCUUGUAUCACCGGCGUCAAAUGUAUCUGAGGGUCCGCGAACUGGCCGACCAUCCUUCUGUGAUAGGUUUCUCUAGGAGGCAAAGAACGAUAGUAAUGUCGCCAGACCAGUAUGCAUCCCAUAUUCAGGCUUUCCCGGAAGACGAACAGUUGAUCAACAAAGAAAUCUCACACUUCUUGACGAUGUGUAUGCUCUUCGGCGGGGGUGUGAUGCCUGGUUCGCGUAGAAGACGACGACAGUCAGCGAAUCAAAGGGGUACAGAGGCGACCUCUACGAAUCAUCCAGAUAAUGACGAGG